rnacentral:rRNA from 1 species
CAGUAGCCGCGGGAAAACGUAGGGUGCAAGCGUUAAUCGGAAUUACUGGGCGUAAAGCGUGCGUAGGCGGUGAGUUAAGUCUGCUGUGAAAUCCCCGGGCUCAACCUGGGAAUGGCAGUGGAUACUGGCUCGCUAGAGUGUGUCAGAGGAUGGUGGAAUUCCCGGUGUAGCGGUGAAAUGCGUAGAGAUCGGGAGGAACAUCAGUGGCGAAGGCGGCCAUCUGGGACAACACUGACGCUGAGGCACGAAAGCGUGGGGAGCAAACAGGAUUAGAUACCCGUGUAGUCCCUGUCUCUUAUAC